CCCUUAGAUGUCCUGGGCUGCACGCGCGCUACACUGAUGUGUCCAGUAAGCACCUAACCUAUUCCGAGAGGAGCGGGUAACCUUAGCAAAGCACAUCGUGAUGGGGAUAGAUUAUUGCAAUUAUUAGUCUUGAACGAGGAAUUCCUAGUAAGCACAAGUCAUCAGCUUGUGUUGAUUACGUCCCUGCCCUUUGUACACACCGCCCGUCGCUCCUACCGAUUGAAUGUUCCGGUGAGCUCUUCGGACUGCGCGGUCUGCAGUUUCUGCGUUCCGUGCGGAAAGUUGUGCAAACCUUAACAUUUAGAGGAAGGAGGAGUCGUAACA
rnacentral:rRNA from 1 species